rnacentral:rRNA from 1 species
AGAGUUUGAUCAUGGCUCAGAAUCAACGCUGGCGGCGCGCUUAACACAUGCAAGUCGCACGAGAAAGGGAGCAAUCCUAAGUAAAGUGGCGCACGGGUGAGUAACACGUGGAUCAUCUACCUUUUAGUGGGGAAUACCUCUGGGAAACCGGAGACAAUACCGCAUAAGCCUGUAAAGGGAAAGCAGCAAUGCGCUGAAAG